rnacentral:rRNA from 1 species
AUCAACUUUCGAUUGGUAGGAUAGAGGCCUACCAUGGUGGUAACGGGUAACGGGGUGUUAGGGCACGACACCGGAGAGGGAGCCUGAGAAACGGCUACCACAUCCAAGGAUGGCAGCAGGCGCGCAAAUUACCCAAUCCCGACACGGGGAGGUAGUGACAAUAAAUAACAAUACGGGGUUCUUUCGGAUUUCGUAAUUGGAAUGAGUACAAUUUAAAUCUCUUAACGAGGAACAAUUGGAGGGCAAGUCUGGUGCCAGCAGCCGCGGUAAUUCCAGCUCCAGUAGCGUAUAUUAAAGUUGCUGCAGUUAAAAAGCUCGUAGUUGAAUUUCGGGACCAUCAUGUCGGUCGUGCCUCGGUACGUACUGGCAUUGUUGGUUUCUCCCUUCUGACGAACCAUGAUGUCAUUUAUUUGGUGUUGUGGGGAAUCAGGACUGUUACUUUGAAAAAAUUAGAGUGUUUAAAGCAGGCUCACGCUUGAAUACAUUAGCAUGGAAUAAUGAAAUAGGACGUUUGAUUCUAUUUUGUUGGUUUCUAGGAUCGACGUAAUGACUAAUAGGGAUAGUUGGGGGCAUUAGUAUUCAAUUGUCAGAGGUGAAAUUCUUGGAUUUAUUGAAGACUAACUACUGCGAAAGCAUUUGCCAAGGAUGUUUUCAUUAAUCAAGAACGAAAGUUAGGGGAUCGAAGACGAUCAGAUACCGUCGUAGUCUUAACCAUAAACUAUGCCGACUAGGGAUCGGAUGAUGUUAAUUUUUUAAUGACUCAUUCGGCGCCUUACGGGAAACCAAAGUGUUUGGGUUC